GCAAACAACCCUGAAGGAUCUGCCGGUUAGAGGAGACCUUCGUGCCACACUCUGUCAAAAGCUUCCUGAACGUCCAUAUAAACUGCUGAACAGUGCAUUUUCUUCUCGUGUGCCUGUAGGAUGAACUGGGUGACUCUGCCAAUUUGCUGUUCUGCUGAGUGCUGUUCACGAAAACCAAACUGAUGGUUUGGAAUAGAACUAGCAAAGCUGCUUACCUCAAACAAUCGACCCAGUAGGAGGCGCUCGAGAAGCUUAGAUAGCCCAGAGAGAAGACUGAUUGGCCUGUAGGAUGCCAGCUGAUCCGGGGGUUUGCCUGGCUUCGGUAUCAUGGUGACCGUGGCAGUCUUCCAUGCUUUUGGAUAAUGGCCAAAUUUGAGAGCAGCAUUAAAGAUGAGCGUCAACUCCAGAUCGGAACGUAGUAUGGCGUCAGAAAGGUAUGACACUUAACUCUGAUACUCCAACAGGGCUGGAGUAAAGAGUAAGGAUACCAUCACCUGACGUUCUAUUUUUUUUUUUUGAUUUAAGUGCCGGCAGUGCGUGCACAUUUGGGCUGUUGAUCGAUGUGACCGUACAGCUUUUCUUUUAUUUGUUCGCAAUAAGAAUAUACUGCUUAUACAAAUAUUACAAA